CCGACGGCGAUGACGCGGGGCUCCCCAACGCCGGGCCGGGACACGGCGGUGAAGAGAAAGUUCAGGGAGUGGGAGCCUGGGAGCGGGGAGCGGCUGAGACCACCGACCCUCUCCCUAGGCCGUUUCCCUCCUGACCACACACUCACCCGCCCGGGUCUGGGUCAGGGGCAGGGUCCCGGAGAGCAACAAGAGGAGGAUCUGGGAAGCCAUUAGCAUGAUCACUGGAGUCUGGGGAGACUGAGUUCCAGUGGGUCCGUGCGCCCCUUAUAACCGGGAACCGAGGAGACACUGA